rnacentral:snRNA from 1 species
GUGCUCGCUUCAGCAGCACAUAUACUAAAACUGGAACGAUACAGAGAAGAUUAGCAUGGCCCCUGCACAAGGAUGACACGCAAAUUCGUGAAGCGUUCCAUAUUUUU